rnacentral:tRNA from 1 species
CCGCCAUUAGCUCAUCAGGAAAGAGCGCCAGCCUUCGAAGCUGGCUGCGCGGGGUUCAAGUUCCCGAUGGCGGUCCA